rnacentral:tRNA from 1 species
GCGGGUGUAAUUCAGUGGUAGAAUGUCAGCUUCCCAAGCUGAACGUCGCCGGUUCGAAUCCGGUCUCCCGCU